GUUCGGCCUCGCCACCCGGCGCGCGCGCAGGCAGGCCCGCUCGGCCUCCGCGUGGGCACGAGCAGAGAAUUGCUCUGCCUCCGGGCAAGGGCGCGGCCUCGGCCUCGGAUCCGGCGCAGGGGCGGGCGCGGUCUGGCCCCAGCACCCGUGCAUCCCGGCACGGUGCGUGCCCGGCCGCCCGACCUCGGCGGUCCUCCUCGGGCGCGGCUCCACGACUGGCUCCUCGGCGAUCCUCCAGGCAAGGGCGCGGCCUCGGCCUCAGAUCCGGCGCAGGGGCAGGCGCGGUCUGGCCCCAGCACCCGUGCAUCCCGGCGCGGUGCGUGCCCGGCCGCCCGGCCUCGGCAGUCCUCCUCGGGCGCGGCUCCACGACUGGCUCCUCGGCGGUCCUCCAGGCAAGGGCGCGGCCUCGGCCUCGGAUCCGGCGCAGGGGCGGGCGCGGUCUGGCCCCAACACCCGUGCAUCCCGGCGCGGCGCGUGCCCGGCCGCCCGGCCUCGGCGGUCCUCCUCGGGCGCGGCUCCACGGCUCCUCGGUGCUCUCAUGGAUGGAAGGGCCCCCUGCCAGUGCGGGGCGAGGUGCUCCAUCGUUGGAAGGGCCCCCUGCCUCUGCGGGGCGAGCCAUGGAUGGAAGGGCCCCCUGCUUGUGCUUGCGUGCUCUCAGCGAUGGGAUCUUGGGAGAAGAGGAAGCGAGAGAGAGGGCAGGGGCAGUGAUCCGGAAAGGGCGAGAGAGAUGGAGCGCAGUGGCGAGGAAACCGCGGUCGAGGAUGGAAAGGAGCGCCAUAGAAGGAAGCCGCGACUGCUCGAGGAUGGAAAGGAGCGCCGUGGGCGGGCGGGAUGCGAGGAAACCGCGGCGGCGGGGGGAGGAGGGUGGCAGAACCGUGCACCACUGGUUGUGGACGUCUACACUACAUACUUAUGUAGUGGUAGAGAUAAACACAUAAUGACUUGCUUAUGGAUUAUCAUAAUCUAGAUAUCUAGAUUAUAUAAUCCACCUAAUAAUAUGUGUUGUUUAUUUGUAUCUUAACUUAUUUAAGCUAGAUUAAAUAAUCUAGAGGGUAGACAAACAGGGUAAAGGAACCAAACAAAACAACUCUUAGACCUUGUUUGGGUACUCUAAUAUUCACCUCAAUUCACAUAUAUUGAGAUUUAAGCUGAAUAAUUUACACUUCAAUCUAACGUAAUAUAUGUAAAUUUAUCGUGAAUACUAGAGCACCUAAACAAAGUCCUAUAGGCUCGG
rnacentral:misc_RNA from 1 species